rnacentral:rRNA from 1 species
AUACGGGAGGCAGCAGUGAGGAAUUUUCCGCAAUGGGCGAAAGCCUGACGGAGCAAUACCGCGUGGAGGAGGAAGGCCCGUGGGUGGUAAACUCAAAUUCAGAGAAGAACACAAGGAC